rnacentral:rRNA from 1 species
GACGAACGCUGGCGGCGUGCUUAACACAUGCAAGUCGAACGGAAAGGCCCUGCUUUUGUGGGGUGCUCGAGUGGCGAACGGGUGAGUAACACGUGAGUAACCUGCCCUUGACUUUGGGAUAACUUCAGGAAACUGGGGCUAAUACCGGAUAGGAGCUCCUGCUGCAAGGUGGGGGUUGGAAAGUUUCGGCGGUUGGGGAUGGACUCGCGGCUUAUCAGCUUGUUGGUGGGGUAGUGGCUUACCAAGGCUUUGACGGGUAGCCGGCCUGAGAGGGUGACCGGCCACAUUGGGACUGAGAUACGGCCCAGACUCCUACGGGAGGCAGCAGUGGGGAAUAUUGCACAAUGGGCGGAAGCCUGAUGCAGCAACGCCGCGUGCGGGAUGACGGCCUUCGGGUUGUAAACCGCUUUCGCCUGUGACGAAGCGUGAGUGACGGUAAUGGGUAAAGAAGCACCGGCUAACUACGUGCCAGCAGCCGCGGUAACAC